rnacentral:rRNA from 1 species
UAAUUGAAGAGUUUGAUCAUGGCUCAGAUUGAACGCUGGCGGCAGGCCUAACACAUGCAAGUCGGGCGGUAACAGGGAGAAGCUUGCUUCUCCGCUGACGAGCGGCGGACGGGUGAGUAAUGUAUGGGGAUCUGCCUGAUGGCGGGGGAUAACUACUGGAAACGGUAGCUAAUACCGCAUAAUGUCUUCGGACCAAAGCGGGGGACCUCCGGGCCUCGCGCCAUCAGAUGAACCCAUAUGGGAUUAGCUAGUAGGUGAGGUAACGGCUUACCUAGGCGACGAUCCCUAGCUGGUCUGAGAGGAUGAUCAGCCACACUGGGACUGAGACACGGCCCAGACUCCUACGGGAGGCAGCAGUGGGGAAUAUUGCACAAUGGGCGCAAGCCUGAUGCAGCCAUGCCGCGUGUAUGAAGAAGGCCUUCGGGUUGUAAAGUACUUUCAGUCGGGAGGAAGGUGU